rnacentral:rRNA from 1 species
CCUACGGGUGGCAGCAGUGGGGAAUAUUGCUCAAUGGGGGCAACCCUGAUGCAGCGAAGCCGCGUGAGUGAAGACGUAACUAGUUAUGUUAAGCUCUAUCUGCAGAGGAGAAAAUGACGGUACCUGUGUCUGAAGCCCCGGCUAACUUCGUGCCAGCCCCCGCGGUAAUACGGAGGGGGCCGGCGUUAUACGGAUUUACUGGGUGUUAAGGGAGCGUAGAGGGCUGUGCAAGUCUGGAGUGAAAGGCGGGGGCUCAACCCCCGGAUUGCACUGGAAACUGGAAGGCUGGAGUGCAGGUGAGGUAAGUGGAAUUCCUAGUGUAGCGGUGAAAUGCGUAGAUAUUAGGAAGAACACC